GUGGGGAAUAUUGGACAAUGGGGGCAACCCUGAUCCAGCCAUGCCGCGUGUGUGAAGAAGGCCUUUUGGUUGUAAAGCACUUUAAGCGAGGAGGAGGCUUACCUGGUUAAUACCUGGGAUAAGUGGACGUUACUCGCAGAAUAAGCACCGGCUAACUCUGUGCCAGCAGCCGCGGUAAUACAGAGGGUGCAAGCGUUAAUCGGAUUUACUGGGCGUAAAGCGCGCGUAGGUGGCUAAUUAAGUCAAAUGUGAAAUCCCCGAGCUUAACUUGGGAAUUGCAUUCGAUACUGGUUAGCUAGAGUAUGGGAGAGGAUGGUAGAAUUCCAGGUGUAGCGGUGAAAUGCGUAGAGAGCUGGAGGAAUACCGAUGGCGAAGGCAGCCAUCUGGCCUAAUACUGACACUGAGGUGCGAAAGCAUGGGGAGCAAACAGGAUUAGAAACCCGUGUAGUCC
rnacentral:rRNA from 1 species